ensembl:lncRNA LOC108352070 uncharacterized LOC108352070
CCCACUGUCAAUUCUCAGAAUUACUCACUGAGCCAAUGGAGAUCUUUUCAGAAAAUCCUUGUCUGUGCCUGUAUCUUGAAAGGCUUUGGUUUUGUUUUCUUCUAGCAGUUUCAAAGUUUUAGGUCUCAUAUGGAGGUCUCAUAUGGAUAGUCUGAAGUGGUUUUUGUGCAAGCUAAGAACAGCAUUAUCCACUCUCCAUACGUAAAGGUACAGGGUCCGAAGUGCCGCGCACAUCUCGCAAAGCCUCGUAGCUGCAAGUGUGCCUUCCACACUCCCCUGAGCUCGUUGAUCUCCUUUGUAAGAUUCCGGAGGGCUAGGAAGAUGUCCCAGUGGGUGAGAUAUUGGAUGUGGAAGCAAAUUCGAAGAUGUCGGCUUAGAUCCCAGCACUCACGGAGAAAGCCACGUGUGGAGGACGCUCGGUAUUGCAGUUAAACCAGAUCAGCGUUUGUUCUCAGGUUCAUUUGCCGUAGUAAGGCCAACCUCGGUGAGUAUCUUUCCUGACAUGUGAGUAUCCUUCCUGAUAUCCAAAUGGUUAUCAGGAAGAUUAUCUAGAAAAUCAAAAGUUUUCCACUCUUGCUCACACCAGCCCCAUCUCUGGAACACCAACCCUCAGGGGGCAUUUCCUCUGCUGAUUUCAGAUGACUCCUUGGUUAGGGUAUGUUCCUCACAUGAGUGCAUGGACACACAUCUGGAGACUGAAUGAAGCUCUCUUGAGCUCUCUGUGGCCCUCGGUCCUGUUCUUCCUCUCUGGUCCUCUAUGAACCCUGGCCAGCAUCCUCUGGACUUCCUACUCUCUCACCAAUAGGGUUCUCUCCUCAGGGGUGAGCUCUAGCAACUUUCUCAAGGCAGGAGCAGAAAACAACUUAAGAACUUAGCACAUUUGUUUCUUAUCACACAUAGCUCACUGUCUUGGCUCUGUCCUCUCCCUUUCCUCUCUUCCUUUUCCUCCUCCUCCCUCUUCUUUCUCUUCCUCCUUCUCCCCUUCUUUCUUCUCUUUCCUCCCUUUUUUUUCUUUUCCUUUUUUCUGAACAGUAAUCCAAGUUCCCAUGCAUGCUAGCCAAGUGCGGUGCCACAGGUCUACCCAGCCAGAUCAUGGAUGCUCUUUCUACUCAUCUUUUAGACAGUUUGCCGUGUGGCCAUUCCUCACUCUUUCCCCACCUCUCUGCAAGAUCUCAUUCCAAAACUUCAAGCAAACCCAUAUGCUGAGUCUCAAAUUUCCAUUCUCAUCCCAGUCUAUCAUCCGAACUCCCACACUACCCACCCAAUGACUUACCAUCACAUUUUUCUAGAUAUUCCCACAAGCUGCUUGAACUCAACAUGCAGAAAUGGAAUAGCACCCCCUAUGCCUUCCUGGCCCACCUGACAUCUCGGUUUGUCACGUAAACCAUGGGUAGCUCUAUCUGCUUCCUUUCCUUUCCAGGAUGUUCACCGAGAUUGUGUUUCUGUCAUUGUUCACUACCAUGUAGAACAGCCUGUGGCAUAAGGAGGGUCUCAAUUAAUACAGUGAACACAUUGGUGCCAAAUAUAAGGGGGAUAAUCUGAGAGAGGGGAGGGAAACAGUUAAAAAUUAAUUAGUCUCGCUGCAUUGGAUUUGCCGUGUCCCUAAAAAGGGUGAAUCGGAAAGCACAGAAAGACAAGGAUGAGAGUUGGUUUUAUUUCUGGUGACUGUGAAGAACCUGGGGAUAAUCAGGAAGAGAAAACUGAGCAGAAAUAACGGAAGGAAGUUAGCUUUCUAGGCUCGUACAUACUUAACACUUGCCUCUUAGUAUGGUGUCUCAAUGAAGCACAUCUAUGGUUCCCUUCUGUGCUGAAUAUGUGCUCAUACCAAGUGCACUGCUUUUAGAAGUGUCUUUGAGUCACUUUAUACAAAGCUGUCCUUCUCAUCAAUCAUAUUAUAAAUUCUGACUGGGCUUAACAUGCCUAUUUUAUCCAUAGUUUGGGAGACCAGGAGCAAGAACUUUAUUUCUUUGUGGGCAUGUGUGUCGCCAAGACAGUGAUUGCGAGCCUUCCCUAAGGCGGUGCAUACAGAAAUAUUGUACGUGAAAAAAGCAGAGAUGUGGGGCAGACAUUGGGCUCUCAGUCUCGUCUGAUUCUGAGACACAUGUGUACCAUACUUCCAUCCACACACCGGUCCUGCUUGCAUUAUAUAGAAGAACUGUGCUGGUUCACGUUGGCAAGCCGACUUCAGCAUGCCUAAAGCUAUUUCCCAUGGAAAUCUUGGCCCAGCUCCUCUGGAUGCAAACUCGCUGGCGGAGCAUGCGUGUUUGAGUUUGGGGAGAGUUCCCAGCAUGCUCUACUUCUGUUCAAGGGAGCUGGACGGAACUAGGGCCCAGAGGAAACUGGAGAGCAGGCCAGGCAGGUGUGAAGGAUUCAACGGUGGCCACAAUGUGUGAAGAGAUUGCAGAUUCUAUCAUCUUCUACUACAAUAUUAUGGACUCCCAGAACUACAAAGUCUAUUGAUCUCCAAAUCUCAGAGGACCUGAUAUGAAUACCUUGGAAGACCAACCACACUGCUCGAGGCUAAGACACUGACAUCUGUCUGAUAAAUGAAUGCCUUCUCUUCUAUACAACUUAGUUCUUCAUGCCAUCUGGAACCCUGAGCUGAGAUGCUGUUCUUCAAGAGAAUAACAUGGUGCCAGAAGAGAAGUUCCUGUGUCCAAAUGGCCACUGAGGAAGGAGCCUUUGUUACCAUAAGAACAAAAGGAAGAGAUACCUUUCUUUUCUGCUGUUAAAAGAACCUACUUUUGAGACUAGAACUCCCUCAUUCUCUUAUAUCCAGACUAAACAGAAGGUACCGAGGACUUCGAGUCCUGGGAGUUUGCCAGUGAGCAGGAAAUUUGAGUUCCAGUCACAACAGGCCGCAGCGAGUAGGCACAGGAAGAACUAUGAUUCUAGGAUCUAGAGUGGAGGUACACAACCCUUUUCCAUCAAUCAUCGCGUGCCUUCCGCUGCCACCAUCAAGCAACGUGUUUGGUGGCCAACCCCCUCCUCUCUCAAGAGACUGUCUGGAGGCCAGUGUAGCAUUGGGAGCUUCUGGGAUCAUUCACGUAUGUACAGACAAGUUUAAAUAUUGAGGCUGUCUGUCUAGACAGCUCUUCCAACCUCUUUACUUCCCCAUGGGACCUGCCUUUACUCUCCUUCCAUCCAGCUGUGGAGAUGAUUGACAUUUUUGGAAUCCUCGGAGACAUAGUGCUUUCCAAACACGGAGUCUUAGAGUGAGCAAAGGAGAGAACGGAACGGUGAUUGGGGGACUUUAUUUCUAGGGAGAUUUCCCAAGUUAGGGACUGCUGUUACCCUCAUGGAAUGUGGCACAAAGAAAUCAGAUUCCAAAGCUAAUGGUAUGUCCGUUAUUUUACUUGAAGAAUGAGGAACAUCUUUUCAGUUUCCAACUGGCUUCCAGUAUAUGAAGGCAAAUUCUGUAUGAAAUCACUAGGGUUGUUUUCCUGGUGUCUCAUCAACUGGAUGGCUUGAGUCACAGGAGUGGACUAUCUGAUAUCUCUAGAGACCAAUAAUAGUGUUAGCAGGGUUGAUGCCUUCUGGAAAAUGGAAGGGGCAUUCUGCUUCUUCACUCCUUGGUUAUAUACAUGGUUGCCCUCUCCCUGGCAUCUCCACAUUGUAUUUUCAUUAUGUUUACCUGUCUUGGUGUCCAAACUUCUCAAAUUUCAUAAGGACACUAGUAAGACCACCGACAGUCCUAAUGGUCUCAUUUUAAUUGGAAUGCCUCAGUAAAGACACUCAUCUCGAGCUGCGCUUGCAUUUGGAAGGACUUGGGACCAGGGCUUCCACGUAUUAAUUUUUGAGGAGAGGAGUAUAAAUGGAGUAUAAAUUAAGCUGGACAAACUCUAAAUUGGCGCUUUAUAGGUUUCUGCCACUUUUAUAGCCUCACAUCUUCACUGUAUUUACAUGUAUUGCUCCUGUAAUAUUUACUAAGAAAGUGGCUUUAAUGAAAUAGAUUUACUGAAAGGAUGGGUUUGUUUAUUAAUAGAAAGCUAAUGCUUUUUAAAGUAUCCGUUAUAAUGAUUAUUCAAAUUACAUCUAUCCUUCAUUUCUCUGCCAUCUAGGGAUUUGUUCAUCUGCUUUAAGAAGCACGGAGAGCUAUGGAAGACCUUUGGAUAAAUAAAUUAGGAUGAGAUAGGAUGCAUUUAACCUGAAAGCUCAUUGCUUAUACGGAUUUUAAAGAGCAAAGGCCUUGGAUUGGGUACAAGGGGUUUGUCCCCUGACCCACUGCCUUCGCAGCUAUGACCUGUACGAUAAUUAGUCUGCUGAGCAAAUAGGCCAGAAACAGUAACUGGGCCCUGGUGCUCUCCUCGAACCAACAUUCCAAGGACCGUUCAUUGUACUACUGAACCCUGGAAGACAUUGAGAUUCUGAACAUGACAGUCUAGGAAGUGACCAUUUUGUGCACUUGCGUCCACGCCUGCCACCUGCGUGCCUGGCAGAUGCGCUGUUUUCUUACAAAGCAUCCCACAGAAUGAAAGUAUCUCAAAAAGGAAGCUAGGUCAACAACCUGCACCUACAGAAUUGGGGGAAGACGGGGC